GAUGAACGCUGGCGGCGUGCUUAACACAUGCAAGUCGAGCGAAGCAUUUAAGUGGAUUCCUUCGGGAUGAAGGUUAUAUGACUUAGCGGCGGGCGGGUGAGUAACGCGUGGGCAACCUGCCCCAUACCGGGGGAUAACAGCCGGAAACGGCUGCUAAUACCGCAUAAGCGCACGGUACCGCAUGGUACAGUGUGAAAAAACUCCGGUAGGUGUGAGAUGGACCCGCGUUGGAUUAGCCAGUUGGCAGGGUAACGGCCUACCAAAGCGACGAUCCAUAGCC
rnacentral:rRNA from 1 species